CCACACGACUCUCGGCAACGGAUAUCUCGGCUCUCGCAUCGAUGAAGAACGUAGCGAAAUGCGAUACCUGGUGUGAAUUGCAGAAUCCCGCGAACCAUCGAGUCUUUGAACGCAAGUUGCGCCCGAGGCCACCCGGCCGAGGGCACGCCUGCCUGGGCGUCAC
rnacentral:rRNA from 2 species